GUUCUCUAGCUCACUGGUAGAGCACCUGCUCUGCAUGCAGAAGGUUCCAGGUUCGGUUCUUGCCAUCUCCA